AGGUGGUCUGAUAUGGACCGUAAUCCCGACAGCAGGUGCUGUGCUUCUGCUUCUGCUGCUGUUUCUGCUGCUGUUUUUCUGCUGCUGCAGGACAAUCCGAAGGAGACGUGUCAUGGCCUACAGGCCUCCAGCCGUCCGUCCCGAGCUUCUGGGAGUCUGUCAGGAGCGCAUGCCGCUCUACAUUAACUGCAGUGAAGUCACAAACGUCUACAGCAACGGCAGCUACCAGCUCGUCUAUCAGAACUGCACUCCGCUCUUCGUACGGAGCAAACAGAUGCACAAGAGACAGAGACGAGGAGCGAGACGCCAGCGAGCGCAGACCCCCGUCACUGCUGACUCCGACACGGCCGUCUAUGUGGAGGUCCUGUGAGCUCAGACUGUGUGCAUCUUCACUGUGUGCUGUUACUCCUGCUUCAGCUCGCCUCCAGAAAUAAAGAAAUAAACUCUGUG
rnacentral:lncRNA from 1 species